UCAGGAACAGCAGGUUGCCAUUAUCCCUCAAGAGAAAAGUGUAUAACAGCUGUGUCUUACCAGUACUCACGUAUGGGGCAGAAACCUGGAGGCUUACUGUAGUAUAGUGUCGCCCCCGGUCAGAUCUCUGUGUCAUCGUACAUGUAUGUUUUGUAGUUGUUUAGCUAGAUGGCGCACCCCCCUUCUGUCAUGUGACGAGCUUGGACCAAUCGGGAGGUGUCAUCUGGCGUGUGAAGCCUUUAUUAGUAAUAAACGGCCGCGGGUCGGCUGAGUCUUCGUUCCGGUUUUCA
rnacentral:lncRNA from 1 species